UAGAGAUAGAUUAGUGCCUUCGGGAGCGCAGUGACAGGUGCUGCAUGGCUGUCGUCAGCUCGUGUUGUGAAAUGUUGGGUUAAGUCCCGUAACGAGCGCAACCCUUGUCCUUAGUUGCUAGCAGGUUAAGCUGAGAACUCUAAGGAGACUGCCGGUGACAAACCGGAGGAAGGUGGGGACGACGUCAAGUCAUCAUGGCCCUUACGACUUGGGCUACACACGUGCUACAAUGGCCAGUACAAAGGGUUGCCAAGCCGCGAGGUGGAGCUAAUCUCAUAAAACUGGUCGUAGUCCGGAUUGGAGUCUGCAACUCGACUCCAUGAAGUCGGAAUCGCUAGUAAUCGUGAAUCAGAAUGUCACGGUGAAUACGUUCCCGGGCCUUGUACACACCGCCCGUCACACCAUGGGAGUGGGUUGCUCCAGAAGUGGCUAGUCUAACCUUCGGGGGGACGGUCACCACGGAGUGAUUCAUGACUGGGGUG
rnacentral:rRNA from 1 species